UGUGAGAUGUACAAUGCCCACGUGAUGAGGCGAGGGGAGGCGAAUCAUGUGGGCAUUGUGAUGUGGCCUUAGGCUGCUAGUGACCUUCUGAUGGCACAGCAGUGGGAGGAGCAUCUGCUUCCGGUGAUCAGGGGCCAUCAAGCUGUGACAAUGUCAAUGGUUGGUUGUUAGGAACAGAUGAUAUCUGCCAGUGGGCAGCGUCACAGUGUGGCUAUGCUGGACACAGGGACGAUUCAUGACCCGGGCAAGAGAUUUCAUCGCGCUGUUCAGAGUGGAACCCAAUUUCAAACUUAUGAAUUAUUUCUGGAAUUUUCCACUUAAUUUUUUUGGACCACAGGUAACUGAAACCACAGAAAGCAAAACCACAGAUAAGGGAGAACAUCUAUGCGUUUUAUCAAUAGCCUCUUAGCAAACCUCAAGCUGUGGACCACAGGCCCCCAGGGGUCACUGGCCAGUGCGGAUGAUGUCUGGUCAGUCACGGCCAGUGAUCAAAAUGUGAGUGUGUCCUCUUGUGGGUGAUGAGGAGAAACAGCUCUGGAAUUUCUAUGUAUCCAGGCUUGUGGCACACCUGUUUGGGGGAUGGGAAUUAAGGCAUCCUAAAGCUGAAUGCGCAGAGUGCUCCACAUUGUUUUGAGAAAAGUCGUGCCCACACCAAAGAAUGGAAGGGAAGCUGGCUGAUGGAGACCUUGGCCUUCCUUGCCCACUUGGAAUCUUUCCGUGGCAGCCCACUGGACAAAGUCCAAACACCUACUGGGCAUGGCAUUCAAGGCCUUUUUGACAUCUGACUCCUGACCACCUUUCUACCCCAAUUGCAGACUCAGAAACAGGAGAUUGUCGAAUCUGGGCUGGAACGACUCAGAGACUCCGAGGAUUACAGAAACGCAGGGGGCUCUGGCAGGGAGCGUGGAUGUUCCCCAGGCAUCUGUCCUCCCCCGUUUCUCAGCCUCCCUUGCAGCUGGGUGGGAGCCAAGUGGUCGUUCUCAGCGGGAAGGAGGCUACUUAGAAGAUUUUGGUUUACGCCAAAAGUGAGGGUGUACACCAAGGAAGAGAAAGACUUGGGAGGGAAAACAGCACACGUAACACAAGAGAGACAAGGGGUGAAGGUCACAGCAGAUCCCUGUUGCCAACUGUUGCGGUGAGCCCAGAGGGCAGCCAGCCAGCGAGGAGCCGGUCAGAGGGGCGUCAGGAGGGAUUCUUCCAAAAAGACAAAAACGCUGGAUUCUCAAAUAUGGUCAAACACGCUGAGAAGAGAUUUACACAACGGAGUUGGUGUUGGGGUAAUUGUGAUAAAAAAUAAGAACAAAAAUAGAGAAAAAGAAAAGAAGAACAAGAGAGGACCGAAAGCUCACACAGACUGUGCCCCCGCUCAGAGCCAGCCUUGUUCUGGACACUUCCAUAUGCGCUGUCUCAUUCAACCCUCCAGCAGGAAGCAUGUGCCACUACCCCUACUAUCCAAGUGAGGAGAGGGGCCCACAGACUUGAAAGCCCGCCUGGGGGCACGCAUCUAGCAAGAGACUUGCUCAAUUCAUCCGUCUCCCUGCUCCUACCACUCUGGGCAGCUCUUACCAGCACAAUAUUUUUCUUCUGAGUUAGCUCCUCUAAGGAGGAAAGGUCCGGUCCCUUCCCAAAGCCUUCCUCCGGCCCCUGCUGGCUCGGGGACAUAACUCUGUCAGUGAUUUAAUUCAAUCCAGAUGGAAGGCUCCACUUGGCUCUUAAAGCAUGCCUUUUGGGAGUGCUGAGAUUUGCAGAUAAACCUUGGGGUGAGGGAGGAAGACAAGGAAACAGGAGGGUGGCAGAUUAUAAAGGCUGGGUGGGGGUGGGGGUGGGGAGAGUCACUUAGAGAUGAGCUUGAACCUGAUGGAACAGCCAUGUCCACGGCUGUCAGUCCUGUGGCCAAGGUUUGGGGCCUCAGUCCACUGGACCAGAAUCUUAGAGGCAAAGCCACAUGCACUCCACCCAUUCACAAGUUCCCUAGAUGCUUCUGAAUGCCCAGUGGCAGGCACCGGCGUGGGAGAUGGGGUACAGGGGUGAAUCAGACACACACCGCUGCCUUGAGGGGCUCACUGUCUAGCAAAUGAGACAGCAAGAUGGACAGAGAGGCUGGUAACCAAAUAUUUAUGAUCCUGUGGGAUCAUAAAGAAACGUUAUAUAUAGUAGAGGCAAGGACAUAGUAUGGACAGAGAACAAAAGAGAGUCACAGUUACGGAGGGACUGAUACUGGGCUGGGGCAUGAAAACUAAACUGGCACGUGCCAUGGAGGAGGUUGGGAGGGACACACCAGACAGAGAAAGGAGCAGGUGCACAGGCAGUGCAGCCUGUAUGGGUGGUGAUUCUAGAAAUCAGGGAGAAGGAACUCUCAGAGUAGUGUGGAGCACCCCACCCAGCUCAGAGCAGCUGGUGUCUGUGGAGAUCCUGUCCAUUCCUGGUCCCUUCUUUUCUUAAUGUCCUGACCUCAAGAAAGAUAUUUCACCUCGCUGAGGGUCGGUUUCCUUGCCUAGUUAUGGGGAAGGUAGUUUUUAAAUGUACAAACAGCAUGAGCCUGUAAUCCUAGCACUUUGGAAGGCUGAGGCAGAAGGAUCGC